GACGAACGCUGGCGGCGUGCUCAACACAUGCAAGUCGAACGGAAAGGCCCUGCUUUUGUGGGGUGCUCGAGUGGCGAACGGGUGAGUAACACGUGAGUAACCUGCCCUUGACUUUGGGAUAACUCCAGGAAACUGGGGCUAAUACCGGAUAGGAGCUCCUGCUGCAUGGUGGGGGUUGGAAAGUUUCGGCGGUUGGGGAUGGACUCGCGGCGUAUCAGCUUGUUGGUGGGGUAGUGGCUCACCAAGGCUUUGGCGGGUAGCCGGCCUGAGAGGGUGACCGGCCACAUUGGGACUAGGAUACGGCCAAGACUGCAGCGGGAGGCAGCGGUGGGAAAUUUUGCACAAUGGGCGGAAGCCUGGUGCAGCAACGCCGCGAGCGGGAUGACGGCGUUCGGGUUGUAAGCCGCUUUCGCCUGUGACGAAGCGUGAGUGACGGUAAUGGGUAAAGGAGCACCGGCUAACUACGUG
rnacentral:rRNA from 1 species